rnacentral:antisense_RNA from 1 species
AACCUGCUUGGGUCCCCUUCCACACUGUGGAAGCUUUGUUCUUUUGCAUUUUGCAAUAAAUCUUGCUGCUGCUCACUCUUUGGGUCCACACUGCCUUAAUGAGCUGUAACACUCACCACGAAGGUCCACAGCUUCACUCCUGAGCCAGCGAGACCAUGAACCCCACCAGAAGGAAGAAACUCUGAACACAUCUGAACAUCAGAAGGAACAAACUCCGGACACGCCGCCUUAUUACCUACCACUUUCAGGGUCAGAGCCCUUCACUUCAUAUUCAUGAGGAGACGGGGAAUUGGAAUAUACCCACAGCCGACAAUCUCAGUAUGAAAUAGUGGUUUACUGUUUGGAGAACAAUAGACAAUGAUCAACAACUGAAGAGCUGA